rnacentral:sRNA from 1 species
AGAGGGGUCGGAGGUAAGUGGCUGUAGAAGUCGGGCGGACCAGGAACCCAGAGGACGCGACGCCAUGACUUAUGCUUAUCUCUUCAAGUAUAUCAUCAUCGGAGACACAGGUGUGGGGAAGUCAUGUCUUCUCCUGCAGUUUACAGAUAAGCGGUUCCAGCCUGUACACGACCUCACAAUAGGUAAGUGCAUCUACUUGUUCAAGUAAAUGCACAAGUGUUCGCAGUAAAAAGUUACUCCUCACUACUUUAAACUAGUCCAAACUUAUGUUAAUGAAGUGACCAAUCAAACGUUGAUAUGUGGGGAGUAGUGUAAGGGAGAGUAUAUAUUUGAAAGGUAACUUUUUAGAGUGUGAGGUGUAGACUCGUCAUACAGUUUUUUUUCAAAUACAAUUUGU